GAUUUUCUUCCAAUCCAGUAUCAUUUGUACGUUGCAGCAUCAUCAAACACUAUGACCCAUGAAUCAGAAGAUAACGUAGAUGCUACGAAAGAGCUCAUUUCACAAUGGACAACAGAAGUGUUACGUGACUUUCUACAAGGAGGGGACUCAAGCUUGGAAAUCGAGUACUCUGGGGGUACUGUUCAGCCAUCCGAGGUAGAGAUAAACUGGACGAUGGAUGGGGGGGGGGGGGGGGGGGGGGGGGGGGGGGGGGAGAAAGGCAUGCAGACUGCAGAGCUGGUCGUCUACUAUGUAUAGAGACAUUUGUGUGUACCUAGUAGAUAAGGACCCUCCAUCACUAGAGGGAAGAAUGAGAGACUACAAAGAGGGAAAGGCAUUUAGUUAUUUUGCCAGUUUCUGGUUAGGGAGAUAUUUUUUUCGUCUCGUGGGAGAAAGCUGUCUGUAAUUCAAAAUCAUUUGAUACUUGAAUAAAUUUAGUUCAUUUUCUAGA